UGAGGAAAUUCCUUUUAAAGAACGACCAGGCUACCUCGACUGACGGGAUGAGACACGGCAAGGACAUCAGGGUUGGCGGAGUGUGCUAAAGCAGCUUUUUCGAUUACAGAAGUCAACAAAUGAGAGUGCCUGGGGACACGCAGGGCCUGAGAACCUCCACAUCACCCGAGGAACAGAGGAGGAGUAGGAUGAGGGUAUGGCUAAAGGAUAGCAAAACUGGUCGUCUAGUGCGUUGGGGACAGAGAAUAAAAGGAGCAGAUUUCUCGGCGUGGUAGAAUAGAUUCAGGGCAUAAUGUGCAGACAGGUAUGGUGAGGUGCGGG
rnacentral:lncRNA from 1 species